rnacentral:rRNA from 1 species
GACGAACGCUGGCGGCGUGCCUAAUACAUGCAAGUCGAACGAACCGCGACUAAGUGCUUGCACUAAGUCAAGGUGAGUGGCGAACGGGUGAGUAACACGUGGGUAACCUACCUCAUAGUGGGGGAUAACAGUCGGAAACGACUGCUAAUACCGCAUAGGACAUAGGAUCACAUGAUCCAGUGAGGAAAGGUGGCGCAAGCUAUCGCUAAGAGAUGGACCCGCGGUGCAUUAGCUAGUUGGUAGGGUAAAGGCCUACCAAGGCGAUGAUGCAUAGCCGACCUGAGCGGGUGAUCGGCCACAUUGGGACUGAGACACGGCCCAAACUCCUACGGGAGGCAGCAGUAGGGAAUCUUCCGCAAUGGACGCAAGUCUGACGGAGCAACGCCGCGUGAGUGAAGAAGGUCUUCGGAUCGUAAAGCUCUGUUGUUAGAGAAGAACAGCGCAUAGAGUAACUGCUAUGCGUGUGACGGUAUCUAACCAGAAAGCCACGGCUAACUACGUG